rnacentral:rRNA from 1 species
CGGGGCAAGUCCCGUAGCUAACGCGUUAAGUCCUGCGCCUGGGGAGUACGGUCGCAAGACUGAAACUCAAAGGAAUUGACGGGGGCCCGCACAAGCGGUGGAACAUGUGGUUCAAUUCGACGCAACGCGAAGAACCUUACCUGGGCUUGAACCGCACAGGACCAGCCUUAGAAAUAGGGCCUUCCCGCAAGGGACCUGUGUAGAGGUGCUGCAUGGCUGUCGUCAGCUCGUGCCGUGAGGUGUUGGGUUAAGUCCCGCAACGAGCGCAACCCUUACUCAUAGUUGCUACCCGCAAGGGAGAACUCUAUGAGGACUGCUCCGGAUAACGGAGAGGAAGGUGGGGAUGAGGUCAAGUCAGCAUGGCCUUUAUGUCCAGGGCUACACACGUGUUACAAUGCGCGCCACAAAGCGUUGCAAACCCGCGAGGGGGAGCUAAUCGCAAAAAAGCGCGCUCAGUUCGGAUUGCAGUCUGCAACUCGACUGCAUGAAGCCGGAAUCGCUAGUAAUGGCGCAUCAGAACGGCGCCGUGAAUACGUUCCCGGGCCUUGUACACACCGCCCGUCACAUCACGAAAGUGGGCUGUACUAGAAAUCGCCGUGC